rnacentral:rRNA from 1 species
GACGAACGCUGGCGGCGUGCUUAACACAUGCAAGUCGAACGGAAAGGCCCUGCUUUUGUGGGGUGCUCGAGUGGCGAACGGGUGAGUAACACGUGAGUAACCUGCCCUUGACUUUGGGAUAACUUCAGGAAACUGGGGCUAAUACCGGAUAGGAGCUCCUGCUGCAUGGUGGGGGUUGGAAAGUUUCGGCGGUUGGGGAUGGACUCGCGGCUUAUCAGCUUGUUGGUGGGGUAGUGGCUUUCCAAGGCUUUGACGGGUAGCCGGCCUGUGAGGGUGACCGGCCACAUUGGGACUGAGGUACGGCCCAGACUCCUACGGGAGGCAGCAGUGGGGAAUAUUGCACAAUGGGCGGAAGCCUGAUGCAGCAACGCCGCGUGCGGGAUGACGGCCUUCGGGUUGUAAACCGCUUUCGCCUAUGACGAAGCGUGAGUGACGGUAAUGGGUAAAGAAGCACCGGCUAACUACGUG